UUAAUUGAAACCAAAGGGCGGUUUAUUAUUGUUAAUAAUAUCAUUGAAUUAAUUCCAAUUAAA
rnacentral:tRNA from 1 species